CCCAGACAGUAUCAGGGGCCCUCACCACAAGCACCAGUUGGUGUCCGAUGUUCAGUGCCACUCCCCCACUUGAGAGGUUAGGAUGUACAGCUCCGCGCCGCUUCUAAGACAUCGCCUCCCAGCGUACAUUUCAUUACAAUGUACUAACUUCAGGAGUGUACUAAAAGCUGAGGGCGUCCAUAGAUCAUCUGUCCAGAGCAAAUUUCGCUGUUUUUGUGAUGGGACGAGCUGGCCUGGGCGCUGUGACGUGUUGGUGGCCGGGGGAGGCGCCGUGGGGUCCUCAGUCGCCUACCACCUGAAGGAGCGAGCUGGUGGAGACCUCAGCGUAGUGGUCGUCGAACGUGACUCUACUUACAAACAAGCCUCCACUGUCCUGUCCCUCGGGAACAUCCGUCAGCAGUUCAGCGUGGCUGAGAACAUCCAAUUGUCGAUGACCAGCAUGAGGUUCCUGCAGGAGGCAGACCGCUUGCUGGCGGUGGAGGGCGCAGAGCCGCCCAACCUCCGGUUCACACCCCGUGGCUACCUCUUUCCCGCUCUCCACGAUGGCGUCGAGCAGAUGAAGGAGAAUUACAGACUGCAGACGGAGCUGGGAGCGGAGGUGGAGUGGCUCUGGCCUCGUCAACUGCAACAAAAAUUCCCCUGGUUGCAAGUAGGAAAUGUGGCGGCGGCUGUCAUAGGCACCAACAACGAAGGAUGGUUUGACCCUUGGAGUCUACUGAUGGGACUGCGGCGGAAGGCGAUGUCGCUUGGGGCACUGUAUGUGACCGGGGCAGUGACGGACCUCCAGCCCCACCACCACCAGCCUGCCCGUGAUCAUAGCCAAGUACCACAUAACACCCUAACCACCGCCACGGUGACUCUGGCCAAUGGGGAGACCCGAGAGAUACAAUUCUCAACGUUGGUGGUGUCGGCGGGGGCGUGGUCCGGCGCCCUGGGGCGCCUGGCGGGCGUGGGUGACGGGCCGGGAGCCCUGGCCACGCCCAUACCUGUGGAGCCAAGUAUUCUUAUUAUAGAAAACGAUACGUCUACUGUGUGCAUGCCCCGGACGGUCCGUGGGACGGCUGUCCUAUAUUCAACGACUACACUGGGGUGUACUUUCGACCGGAAGGCAGCAAGAGUGGGCGACUCUACCUAUGUGGCAAGUCCCCGACAGAGGUCGACGAACCGCCCACGGACGACCUGGAGGUUGACCAUCAGUUCUUUGACACAGAUGUAUGGCCAGUGCUGGUUCAGAGAGUACCAGCCUUUGGAAACUUGAAGGUCCGCAGUGCCUAUGCUGGCUACUACGACUUCAACACCUUCGACCAGAAUCUCAUCAUUGGCUUCCACCCGGUUCUUACCAAUGUGUGUAUAGCCACAGGACUCACCGGCCACGGUAUUCAGCAAUCAAUAGCCGUGGGUCG
rnacentral:misc_RNA from 1 species